rnacentral:rRNA from 1 species
GGAGUUAGCCGGUGCUUCUUCUGCGAGUAACGUCACAGAUGUAAGGUAUUAACUUACACCCUUUCCUCCUCGCUGAAAGUGCUUUACAACCCGAAGGCCUUCUUCACACACGCGGCAUGGCUGCAUCAGGGUUUCUCCCAUUGUGCAAUAUUCCCCACUGCUGCCUCCCGUAGGAGUCUGGGCCGUGUCUCAGUCCCAGUGUGGCUGAUCAUCCUCUCAGACCAGCUAGGGAUCGUCGCCUAGGUGAGCCUUUACCUCACCUACUAGCUAAUCCCACCUGGGCUUAUCCAUCAGCGCAAGGCCCGAAGGUCCCCUGCUUUCCCCCGUAGGGCGUAUGCGGUAUUAGCAGUCGUUUCCAACUGUUAUCCCCCACAAAUGGGCAAAUUCCCAGGCAUUACUCACCCGUCCGCCGCUCGUCAUCUUCAAAAGCAAGCUUUUGAAAUGUUACCGCUCGACUUGCAUGUGUUAGGCCUGCCGCCAGCGUUCAAUCUGAGCCAGGAUCAAACUCUGA